rfam:Palleronia marisminoris strain CECT 7066 genome assembly, contig: 0002
CGCGCGGACCGGGCCCCUCUGACGAUGGCUACCCCCUCGUGAUGUCGGACCGCACCG